rnacentral:lncRNA from 1 species
AACGGCUUUACUCAAUAAUGCUUCUUAUUUUUUAUAUAUAUUUCUUCAACUUUGUCUUUUUUUUUUAAUUUCUCUUUUUUUUCUUCAUCUCUUUCUUCUUCUUCUUCUGUCACUGUGUUCUUUUUCUCCUCCUCCAUUUUUCCUCUUCUUCUCCUCUUUCGGUCUUCUAAUUCUCUUUCCUACCUUUUCUUCUUAUUUCUACUUAUUACUUCUUGUUCUUCUUUUUUCCUCUUUGUUCUUUCUCGUCUUCCUCUUUUUCCUUUUCUUUCUUCUUCUUCUAAUUUUCCUUACUAUAUUUAUACUUACGAUCACUAUUACUUUUUCUCUUUAUUUUUUUCUUACUUCUUCUUCACUCUUUAUUGAUUAAACAAAAAAGAUAAAAUCAACAAAAAUACAUGAAUUCUAAACUCUAAAUAAUUUUAAGCUCUCUCCGCGAUUUCGGA